AUAACCCAUCUCGUUAUUUGCUUCUGUUUUAUCUCUGCUUUAUAUGUUUUCUCCCUCUACCUCUAAAUAAUUUGUAAGAUCACAUCCAAUAUCCCAUUUGAUAGAUUCUGAUCCAAAGGAAACCGGCAAGUCCAUUUGAGAAGUGAAACAGUGUUCCAUUGAAUUCAAUGUAAUCCAUGAAAGCAUAUUCAUUUUGCAUUGCAAAGCUUUUAAAAUUAUGAUUCAAGAUGAAAAUGUCACUGGUUCGGCCUCUCUUUACCAGGCGAGGAUUCAGCACAAGCUCCGACAACCUUGUUGCUUCUGUGCUCUUUGAGAGAUUGCCACUGGUCAUUGAUACUUGUGAUCUCUUGCUUUUGUUUCCCACAAAAUUGAUUAUAUUACUGCUCCAUAGUUACAUUAGAGAGUUGAAACAAAGGCAAAUAUGUUAAGUUUGAAGGAAACAUGAUUGACUUUUGAGAAGCCCAGUUUUAAUGAGUUUUGGGUUACUAGUAUAUAUUAAAGGGUUGCAAUCAAUUACGCGAACAAUGUAACAAAUCAAAUUAUUUUUUGAUGAGGUGGCAAACUUAGGUUAGUGUAGAACAUACAAAAUGAACGAUUUCCCUGGAUAUUUGAGAGACCA